GGAGCGUUCUGUAAGCCUGCGAAGGUGUGCUGUGAGGCAUGCUGGAGGUAUCAGAAGUGCGAAUGCUGACAUAAGUAACGAUAAAGCGGGUGAAAAGCCCGCUCGCCGGAAGACCAAGGGUUCCUGUCCAACGUUAAUCGGGGCAGGGUGAGUCGACCCCUAAGGCGAGGCCGAAAGGCGUAGUCGAUGGGAAACAGGUUAAUAUUCCUGUACUUGGUGUUACUGCGAAGGGGGGACGGAGAAGGCUAUGUUGGCCGGGCGACGGUUGUCCCGGUUUAAGCGUGUAGGCUGGUUUUCCAGGCAAAUCCGGAAAAUCAAGGCUGAGGCGUGAUGACGAGGCACUACGGUGCUGAAGCAACAAAUGCCCUGCUUCCAGGAAAAGCCUCUAAGCAUCAGGUAACAUCAAAUCGUACCCCAAACCGACACAGGUGGUCAGGUAGAGAAUACCAAGGCGCUUGAGAGAACUCGGGUGAAGGAACUAGGCAAAAUGGUGCCGUAACUUCGGGAGAAGGCACGCUGAUAUGUAGGUGAAGUCCCUUGCGGAU
rnacentral:rRNA from 1 species